GAUGAACGCUAGCGGCAGGCUUAAUACAUGCAAGUCGUGGGGCAGCAUGAGUGUAGCAAUACAUUUGAUGGCGACCGGCAAACGGGUGCGGAACACGUACACAACCUUCCUUCAAGUGGGGAAUAGCCCAGGGAAACUUGGAUUAAUACCCCGUAAUAUUAUGGAGUGGCAUCACUUUAUAAUUAUAGCUCCGGCGCUUGAUGAUGGGUGUGCGCCUGAUAGGUAGUUGGCGGGGUAACGGCCCACCAAGCCUUCGAUCAGUAACUGGUGUGAGAGCACGACCAGUCACACGGGCACUGAGACACGGGCCCGACUCCUACGGGAGGCAGCAGUAAGGAAUAUUGGUCAAUGGACGCAAGUCUGAACCAGCCAUGCCGCGUGAAGGAU
rnacentral:rRNA from 1 species